GUGGGGAAUAUUGGGCAAUGGGCGAAAGCCUGACCCAGCAACGCCGCGUGAAGGAAGAAGGUUUUCGGAUCGUAAACUUCUAUCCUUGGUAAAGAUAAUGACGGUAGCCAAGAAGGAAGCCCCGGCUAACUACGUGCCAGCAGCCGCGGUAAUACGUAGGGGGCAAGCGUUGUCCGGAAUGAUUGGGCGUAAAGGGCGCGUAGGCGGCCCGGUAAGUCUGAAGUGAAAGCCCUGCUUUUAAGGUGGGAAUUGCUUUGGAUACUGUCGGGCUUGAGUGCAGGAGAGGUAAGCGGAAUUCCCGGUGUAGCGGUGAAAUGCGUAGAGAUCGGGAGGAACACCAGUGGCGAAGGCGGCUUACUGGACUGUAACUGACGCUGAGGCGCGAAAGUGUGGGGAGCAAACAGGAUUAGAAACCCUUGUAGUCC
rnacentral:rRNA from 1 species